rnacentral:lncRNA from 1 species
UGAAAUCAUCAUUCUUGAUAGAUAUGAACAUCUUCAUAUAAUGUCGUGGAAUGACUCUUCAAUAUCUUCAUAGAUGUAUUCUCAAUGCCAUCUUAUAGUUAUAGCAAGAUACAUAUGUACACAAAUUGUACUUGGGAUGUGGUACUGCAGGACCAAGAAUUGUGUAUGCUUCAAGUAACUUAAAUCUUUCAAGUUAAGU